rnacentral:lncRNA from 1 species
ACUUUUAGUGAAUGCAAUGCAGUUUAGCAGACUGGAUAGAACUCAUUUGUGAUGAAUAAUGAGCUCUUUAGUUUCAUCUUUCAUGGAUAGAUUUUGUUACAUACAUACAUACAUACAUACAUACAUACAUACAUACAUACAUAAUAAAUCCAAAGUCUCUUCUGAGACUCCAGCCACUCACUCUCCUCACUGUGAGCCUCUGUGAAAGAAAAUGUUUCAAAGGUCUUAACAAUUGGAACAGUGUUAGAAUAUAACAUUUUUACCAUGGCACUGAAUAAAUAGUACCACCCCAAAAUGUAGGAAUGGGGACAUAGCAAGGAAAGGUUGGAUCAAAACAAGACCCAAAACCACAUAGAGAAAACACCAAGUCGUAUAAUUGCCACAUCUGGCAUCUCUGGACUCCACAGGGCUUAAGCCCUCCAUGCUUCUAUCUGUGUUUCAGUACACACAGCCUCACUCCCGAGCCGACUACACGUUGUUCCUGGAUUGUCUUGUCAGAAGUCAGGUGUUUCAUCUUGAACGUCCUGUGGUAUCUACUGCACCUUAAGCUUUACCUUCAUAGUUUCAUGCAAUGGCCUCUGGGGACCUCCUUGCAGACACGCCAGCCCUGCCACACCUUGCCUAUCUACAGAAUCCUUCUGGAACCUUGACACAGCUUGGAUCUUUCAUACCUGCAAAGCCAUACUACCAGGCAACACCGCCAAGUUCUCUACCAGCUCAAGGGGUUCAGUGGCCAUUACAUGCCUAAAAAAAAAUAUUCCUCAUGUAGUUCAAUUUGGUCCAUCUCAUUUCAAAUGAAAUUUCAUAUUUUACAACCCUGGAACUUUGAUGGGCAGGCUUAGCUUCAUAGCAUCUUAGUAUUGUCCCAGGAGAGAGGAGUAGGAAUAGCAUCUUCGAUGAUGCUAAUAGCAUUAACAAUGACAGAUGAGAGCUGUUUUCAUAUUAACCCUGCUUUAAACUCAGUCUUUCUGUACCCAGCUGCACAGUAUUCUGCUGUUUGUUGUUCUGUCUCAUCUGUGUACCUGGGUGAGAACAGUGGGAGGUAAUGGUGACACAGACUGAAUGCCACCCUGUUUUGACACUUCUUCCAUCUCACAAAUUACCCCAUUGCUUCUAAACUUCGCCUCACUUAAGUUGUGAAGACCCAGGCAGGAUGCAGCUGGAUUCUUUACCAGACCAUAAAGCAAAUAGCCACCAGUCCUGUUCUCCAUAGCAUCCUUGUCUCAACCUAAAAUCACAUGUCAGGCCUCCAAUGCCUGCAUCUCUCUCCAUCUUCCAAAACCGCACAGAAUGGACCAUUAAGUUGCACUUACUACAUUCUAGCACUCUUUCAAUUCUUCCCCAACCAUCCCACACUGAGUACCGGUUUUCUGUCUCAGUUUCUUUUCUCUUAACAGUGACAAAAUGCCUGACAAAACAGCUUAAAGAAGAGUCUUGCUCCACCAAGCAACCAAUGGAAAGAGAUGCGGAGACCCACCACCAAAUGUUAGGUGGAGCUCAGGGAGUUUACGGAAGAGUUGGGGGAAGUAUUGAGGGACCCAAGGAGGACAGUGACUCCACAGGAAGACCAACAGAGUCCACUAACCUGGACCCUUAGAGGUUCCCAGAGACUGAAUCAUCAACCAGAGAGAGAGUACAGGCUGGACCUAGUCCUUCUACACAUAUGUAGCAGAUGAGCAGCUUGGUCUUCAUGUGGGUCCCUAAAUAACUGGAGCCACGGCUGUCCCUAAGCCUGCUGUCUGCCUCCCUGCCUGUGAAUCCCACAACCCUAAACGGGGUGUCUGGCUUCAAUAAGAGAGGAUGUGCCAGAUGUGAGGGGAGGCUUGGGGGAUGGUGAUAACUAGAAGAAGGCUUCCCUCUUCUUAAAGGAGAAGAAGAGGAAGAAAUGGGA